CAGGUUGGAUGCCAGCCGUGCCCGGUGGGCAGAGUUUGUCACCCCCAACUCAGAAAUGUGCCUCUCUGACAGGUGUAGCAGGUUCUGUACAUGUGUGGUGCAGUGUUGUUGUCAUGUAAGAGUAUGCAGUGACACCAACUUUUUCAGACACAACCAACAAAUGACCAUCUUUUUGCUCUGAUUAAA